rnacentral:tRNA from 4 species
CGGGAUGUAGCGCAGACCGGUUAGCGCGCUCGGUUCGGGACCGAGAAGUCGGAGGUUCAAAUCCUCUCAUCCCGACCA